CCUGCUUUUUGGGGUCCACCACCACCUCGCAACGUGACAGGGGUUCAGACGCCACUUCUAUCUCUAUUCUUUAAUUAAGAAAAUACACGGAGAAUAAUAGAAGCUUCAUCACUAAAUGGGCGUCAGUACUGUGGCCGUCCACUCUGUGAAGGUAUCAAUCACUGCAUGGCAGCGACAAGGUGGACUUUGCCUCCUCUCAUUUCAGCCACCUCUAAUCCCCCUAAUCCUUAUCAGGCUUCUGAGGAACUUGCACAUCCCACUGCAGAUGUCAGCGCUUUUUGCUGACAAGAAAAUGGACUUGCUAGCUGGAGGCCAAGAUCUGCUGAUAUGACUUCAUCGGCCGCCACUUGACUCAGGACAAGAAGUUGUGCCAAACAAAAGGGUCAAAAUGAUUACGCCUCAGCCAGUCCCAAAUCGUCUCCUCAACACAAACAGCAACAACAAUGAUGAGUACGUACAGUUCUUUAGUCAUUAGGAGAUACAAUAGGUCAAGAUCUUGUUUUGAAGACCG